UAGGGAAUCUUCCACAAUGGACGCAAGUCUGAUGGAGCAACGCCGCGUGAGUGAAGAAGGUUUUCGGACCGUAAAGCUCUGUUGUUGGUGAAGAAGGAUAGAGGUAGUAACUGGCCUUUAUUUGACGGUAAUCAACCAGAAAGUCACGGCUGACUACGUGCCAGCAGCCGCGGUAAUACGUAGGUGGCAAGCGUUGUCCGGAUUUAUUGGGCGUAAAGCGAGCGCAGGCGGAAGAAUAAGUCUGAUGUGAAAGCCCUCGGCUUAACCGAGGAAUUGCAUCGGAAACUGUUUUUCUUGAGUGCAGAAGAGGAGAGUAGAACUCCAUGUGUAGCGGUGGAAUGCGUAGAUAUAUGGAAGAAUACCAGUGGCGAAGGCGGCUCUCUGGUCUGCAACUGACGCUGAGGCUCGAAAGCAUGGGUAGCGAACAGGAUUAGAUACCCUGGUAGUCCAUGCCGUAAACGAUGAGCGCUAAGUGUUGGGAGGCUUCCGCCUCUCAGUGCUGCAGCUAACGCAUUAAGCACUCCGCCUGGGGGAGUACGACCGCAAGGUUGAAAC
rnacentral:rRNA from 1 species